rnacentral:rRNA from 1 species
AGUCGAGGGGUAGAUGGUGCUUGCACCAUUGAGACCGGCGCACGGGUGCGUAACGCGUAUGCAACCUACCUUGAACAGGGGGAUAGCCCAGAGAAAUUUGGAUUAAUACCCCAUGGUAUUAUAGAGUGGCAUCACUUUAUUAUUAAAGUCACAACGGUUCAAGAUGGGCAUGCGUCCCAUUAGUUAGUUGGUAAGGUAACGGCUUACCAAGACGAUGAUGGGUAGGGGUCCUGAGAGGGAGAUCCCCCACACUGGUACUGAGACACGGACCAGACUCCUACGGGAGGCAGCAGUGAGGAAUAUUGGUCAAUGGGCGCAAGCCUGAACCAGCCAUGCCGCGUGCAGGAUGAAGCAUCUAUGGUGUGUAAACUGCUUUUGUACGGGAAGAAACCCUGCCUCGUGAGGCAGAUUGACGGUACCGUAAG